rnacentral:rRNA from 1 species
ACAGUGGACGCGAGCAUCUGUGGCCAAGUUUUUAAGGGCGCACGGUGGAUGCCUUGGCACCAGGAACCGAUGAAGGACGUGGGAGGCCACGAUAGUCCCCGGGGAGUCGUCAACCAGGCUUUGAUCCGGGGGUUUCCGAAUGGGGAAACCCGGCAGUCGUCAUGGGCUGUCACCCGCUGCUGAACUCAUAGGCAGUGUGGAGGGAACGCGGGGAAGUGAAACAUCUCAGUACCCGCAGGAAGAGAAAACAACCGUGAUUCCGGGAGUAGUGGCGAGCGAAACUGGAUGAGGCCAAACCGUAUGUGUGUGAUACCCGGCAGGGGUUGCGCAUGCGGGGUUGUGGGAUCUCUCUUCCACGGUCUGCCGGCCGUGGGACGAGUCAGAAACCGUUGAUGUAGGCGAAGGACAUGCGAAAGGUCCGGCGUAGAGGGUAAGACCCCCGUAGUCGAAACAUUAGCGGCUCGUUUGAGAGACACCCAAGUAGCACGGGGCCCGAGAAAUCCCGUGUGAAUCUGGCGGGACCACCCGCUAAGCCUAAAUAUUCCCUGGUGACCGAUAGCGGAUAGUACCGUGAGGGAAUGGUGAAAAGUACCGCGGGAGCGGAGUGAAAUAGUACCUGAAACCGUGUGCCUACAAGCCGUGGGAGCGUCGCGCAUCGAGCUUGCUCGGUGCGUCGUGACUGCGUGCCUUUUGAAGAAUGAGCCUGCGAGUUAGCGGUGUGUAGCGAGGUUAACCCGUGUGGGGAAGCCGUAGCGAAAGCGAGUCCGAACAGGGCGUUUGAGUUGCACGCUCUAGACCCGAAGCGGAGUGAUCUAGCCAUGGGCAGGUUGAAGCGGCUGUAAGAGGUCGUGGAGGACCGAACCCACCAGGGUUGAAAACCUGGGGGAUGACCUGUGGUUAGGGGUGAAAGGCCAAUCAAACUCCGUGAUAGCUGGUUCUCCCCGAAAUGCAUUUAGGUGCAGCGUCGUGUGUUUCUUGCCGGAGGUAGAGCACUGGAUAGGCGAUGGGCCCUACCGGGUUACUGACCUUAGCCAAACUCCGAAUGCCGGUAAGUGAGAGCGCGGCAGUGAGACUGUGGGGGAUAAGCUCCAUGGUCGAGAGGGAAACAGCCCAGAGCAUCGACUAAGGCCCCUAAGCGUACGCUAAGUGGGAAAGGAUGUGGAGUCGCAGAGACAACCAGGAGGUUGGCUUAGAAGCAGCCACCCUUGAAAGAGUGCGUAAUAGCUCACUGGUCUAGUGAUUCCGCGCCGACAAUGUAGCGGGGCUCAAGCGUACCGCCGAAGUCGUGUCAUUGCAGCAUGAGGGCCAACGCCCGCUGUGAUGGGUAGGGGAGCGUCGUGUGCCGGGUGAAGCAGCCGUGGAAGCGAGUUGUGGACGGUUCACGAGUGAGAAUGCAGGCAUGAGUAGCGAUUCACACGUGAGAAACGUGUGCGCCGAUUGACUAAGGGUUCCUGGGUCAAGCUGAUCUGCCCAGGGUAAGUCGGGACCUAAGGCGAGGCCGACAGGCGUAGUCGAUGGAUAACCGGUUGAUAUUCCGGUACCCGCUGUGAAGCGUCAAACAUUGAAUCCAGUGAUGCUAAGCCCGUGAAGCCGUUCCGGACCCUUCGGGGAAUGGAAAGUGGUGGAGCCGGUGGCCCGAGCUGGUAGUAGGUGAGUGAUGGGGUGACGCAGGAAGGUAGUCCAUCCCGGGCGGUGGUUGUCCCGGGGUAAGGGUGUAGGAC